AGCCAAUUAGGAUAGCCCAAGGAUGACGCCUAAAAACCACACAAUUUACUAUGAGUCAAACCCAUAAUUAAGAGUGAAUUUAGGCAAGUCAUCCUUGGCUACCAAAUCAGGCUCA
rnacentral:pre_miRNA from 1 species